GUGAGUCAUCGAGUCUUUGAACGCACCUUGCACCGUAUGAGCAAUUGUACGGUAUACCUGUUUGAGAAUCGUAAACCCCCAUCACUUACUUGUAAGUGGAGUUGUUCGGCUUAUGAGUAAUCAUGGCUGAUCAAAUGGAUUAGGUCUGGAUCAGGCUGGUGGCCUGAGACACUGUGUGCUAGAGACUAAGCAGUCUUAACCGACUGGUCUGUCUUCUCACGGUGCGUCUCGGGUCAUUCAAAGCUGGCCUGCCAAGGACCUUAAUUGCGCAUAGCCUCGUGCUAUGGCAGCCCCCCCUUUUGAUCUCAAAUCAGGUAAGGCUACCCGCUGAACUUAAGCAUAUCAAUAAGCGGAGG
rnacentral:rRNA from 1 species